rnacentral:lncRNA from 1 species
CUUGCUAACCAGUGCACAGACGAAUGAUGAGUGGAAUUCUGUGUUUAUUUCAGAUACCUCAGUAUACACGGCCCACAGUUAAGAAACCACAGACCUGAGACAUCGUUUUAAAGAGGUGAAAAUGCCUCCCCUCAAGUGGCCUAGGAGUGUGAUCCACAAAGACGAACACACAGAACCAUCUUCUGCAUUAUUGGAAAAUUCAAUGGAAACUAGUAAUGCCUACGCAGUUUCACUGGUGAGAGGGUCUUAUGAGCCAUCCAGAGAAAAGCUUCCAUAUUUCCCUUCCAGAAGACCUGCUUGCAGUCCUGGAAUUUUGAAAGUGUGGGGAAAGCAGUCAAGCCCGCGCGGAGCGAUUGUGAGGGGCUCUGCUGGAAUUUGGCAGCGCGGAGGCUUGGAGAGAAGCCCCAUGCUGGCUCCCAUUCAGCCGGCCCGUUUUCCUCGAGCUUUGGAAGUUUCACUCAGCCGUGCACUCAAUGGCUUCACAAAGCUGAUUACAAGCUUCAGCGCAUUCCUGAAGGAGCCAAAAGCGACGCAGGUGCAAACGAGCCGAGGGAGCCCCUUAUCCCGGUGACAGAAUGGGACAAGCUAGGAAAGGCUUGGACCACACAAAUCCAAGGCUCACCAGGCAGCAGAAAGCCUGCCUUGGGAACCGGGGGUCAUUAUCCGCCCUAUUCAGCGGGGCCCGGGGACCCUGGGGGCCCAGCAAGGCUAGCCCGGGCGGGAGCACCGCCGCCAGCGCGCGCGGGCGACAGGG